rnacentral:rRNA from 1 species
AUUGAACGCUGGCGGCAUGCCUUACACAUGCAAGUCGAACGGCAGCGGACCUUCGGGUGCCGGCGAGUGGCGAACGGGUGAGUAAAGUAUCGGAACGUACCUUUCAGUGGGGGAUAACGUAGCGAAAGUUACGCUAAUACCGCAUAUUCUGUGAGCAGGAAAGCAGGGGAUCGCAAGACCUUGCGCUGAUUGAGCGGCCGAUAUCAGAUUAGCUAGUUGGUGAGGUAAAGGCUCACCAAGGCGACGAUCUGUAGCGGGUCUGAGAGGAUGAUCCGCCACACUGGAACUGAGACACGGUCCAGACUCCUACGGGAGGCAGCAGUGGGGGAUUUUGGACAAUGGGGGCAACCCUGAUCCAGCCAUGCCGCGUGAGUGAAGAAGGCCUUCGGGUUGUAAAGCUCUUUCGGCCGGGAAGAAAUCGCGCCAGUUAAUACCUGGUGAGGAUGACGGUACCGGAAUAAGAAGCACCGGCUAACUACGUGCCAGCAGCCGCCGUAACAC